rnacentral:sRNA from 1 species
CACCGCCUGGGGAGUACGACCGCAAGGUUAAAACUCAAAUGAAUUGACGGGGACCCGCACAAGUAGUGGAGCAUGUGGUUUAAUUCGAAGAUACGCGCAGAACCUUACCAACACUUGACAUGUUCGUCGCGACUUUAAGAGAUUAAAGUUUUCGGUUCGGCCGGACGAAACACAGGUGCUGCAUGGCUGUCGUCAGCUCGUGUCGUGAGAUGUUGGGUUAAGUCCCGCAACGAGCGCAACCCUCACUUUUAGUUGCCAUCAUUUAGUUGGGCACUCUGAAAGAACUGCCAGUGAUAAGCUGGAGGAAGGUGGGGAUGACGUCAAGUCCUCAUGGCCCUUACGUGUUGGGCUACACACGUGCUACAAUGGUAUUUACAACAGGAAGCAAAACGGCGACGUUAAGCAAAUCCUUAAAAAAUACCUCAGUUCGGAUUGCACUCUGCAACUCGAGUGCAUGAAGCUGGAAUUACUAGUAAUCGUGGAUCAGCGCGCCACGGUGAAUGCGUUCCCGGGUCUUGUACACACCGCCCGUCACACCAUGGGAGUUGGUUCUACCUUAAGGCAAGGUUUAAAACCCUUGACCACGGUAUAGUCAGCGACUGGGGUGAAGUCGUAACAAGGUAGCCGUAGGGGAACCUGCGGCUGGAUUACCUCCUUUCUAAGGAUGAAUGAAAAUUUUUUUAUUCUAAAUAAUUAACAGGUUAAUGUUGACCGUCCUCAUUUCUCUUCUUUAAAUUUAGUGUUUCUCUUGCUGGGGGCCGGUAGCUCAGUUGGUUAGAGCACACCCUUGAUAAGGGUGGGGUCGAAAGUUCGAGUCUUUCUCGGCCCACCAAUUUAAUAGGGGGAUUAGCUCAGCUGGGAGAGCGCCUGAUUUGCAUUCAGGAGGUCAGCGGGUUCGAUCCCGCUAUCCUCCACCAGAAAACACUUAGUUAUUAAAAAUUGUGAAUAAUUUAAUAAUUAAUAUCAAUAUCUAUAUCCGAUUGUUAGAAUUUGACUAAUCAUAAAAAACUUCGAUUGAUGAACAUUUAAACAAAAUUUGAUCACACAGAAUUUUUUCUG